UUAGUUCGCGUGUAAUUAAUUCGCGGAACGAUGAAAAUUAGAUACGAGAUAACUGAACUUUGUUUCCUUUAACGGGCACGGGGAUGAAGAGUGGCCGCGAGAAAAGCGAUAAUGGGCUCGCUUUAAAUAUACUCGCUUCGGGGAUCUGAAUCAAUUUCGAUGGUCACGGAGAAACAUUUGAACGGUGCGCGAUAGAGGAGAGAUGCAUACGUGAAAUAUCGUUAUGCCUGUUACUAAUGUUUCGCGCAAUAAAAUCGUCCACGACCGAAUGAAACCGGUUGAAUUUAUUUUUCAAGACAGGAAUAACAUCGGAGGUAUUAUUUAGAACGGAUUGCGAAACGAAUCGUUCGGAUUUCAUUAAAAUAAAAAUUGAAAAAAAAUAUUCACACUGGUAGAUUUAUCGUGACAAUUGUGCUUCAGGAUUGAAAUAUUGGUAUGAAACAUUUUUUAAAGCAGAGUGCGAUUAACAUUUGUUUGUCUACUCAACAGAAUUUGAAAUUUUACGAUUUAAAUAAAUAAAUAUUCUUUCUGGAAAUGACAAGAAUAUUGUGUUCAGAGGUUUGUUUCUAUUUUAAUUAGGUUUUGUAAAAUGAGAAUACCUCGGCGUUGUUAACCAAGUCGGCGAAACGAUCGAACGGGUUAAAAGGAACCGAUAUUACGCGAAACAACGUACAGGCAAGCACGAUAUUUCACGUGCUACGAUCGCCUAGGGUUUGCGCUAAUUGCGUUUGAACUUUCAAGAAUUCCUCGCUCUAACUGGUGCACGAUAAUCAAGGAAGUAUCACCGUUUCGCACGAUACGGAAAACUCGGGCUCGAAACAAAUGUACAGCUUUAUUGGCAUACCUAAUCGAACGAACGAUCGUUACAGCGGAAUUACACGCGAACGUAUCCUGUUUUACUAAUCAGAUGUAUUUGUACAUUUUUAAGAAAAAUAAUAAUCCGAUGGUACCUACUUCGAUUUUGUAGUUAGAAAUAAACUCGGAAAGUCUGUCACGAUUUGAUGACAUAAAAGUAUAAUUAAAUAACACUUGUGACGUAUGAAUUUAAAGCUCAGAGUUCGAGGAAAAUAACUAUAUAAACACGUCGUCGAUAUUCUUGACGCAAAAUGACUGGUUGUCAAUUAAAGCACUCUGACCCCGUCGAGUGACAUUAAAACGAACGCAAAGUAACACUUGUGGUAUCAAGAAAUGUCAAUUUGCAGCUUAAAAUCCAUUGAAAAUGGCUAUAAAAAGAUUCUUAGUAUAGAAUGUUUCGUUUUUCAUUAGAACGAAUGAUUUAAUCAACUUACAUCAGUGGUCCAUUAAUGGGUAUUCUAUUUUCAAUCCCAAAAAUUCUAAUGAACUUCCCGAUUCUUCAAUUAUUUUUUUCGAACUCUAACCGUAUGUAAAUAUUAUUUUGCGAUACUUUUAUAUCAUCAAAUCAUUUUAUACUUUACACAUUCAUAAAGUAUUCAUUCGAUGCACCCCCCUGUGGCUGGGGGGCUUAGAAUACAGCCUCGGUAUCCCCUGCCUGUCGUAAGAGGCGACUAAAAGGGGGACGUAAUAGAGCGAGCAUGGCAGUAUGAUGUAAAAUUACUUGUAAGCGAAUGAAAUAAUUGUAACGUCGAUAAUGAAAAACAGAAGCAAAAGUAUGGCAAUUUUUCGGUGGGCAGAGAGGAGUCAUUCGCUCCUAAAUAAUGCCGCCCUCAAAAGAGGGAAACUUAUCAAUCAAUCAAUCAUUCGAUGCAUUUGAUUGUCAUUUGAUCGGUCAUUUGAUGCAACGCCCUGUCACGGUAUUUGAAUCCUAUUUCUAUUUGUAAUUGAAACGCAUGUUACUAGAAUUCGUAAAGCAUUUGCAACGAUAUUAAAUUUCCAUCUAUGGUGCUUCGUUUCCUAGAAAUUUACAACAAAACGAUGUAUUUUGUUUUUCCGGAUGCACUGAAAAAUAUUUGACAUUUUAAGGAUCACGAAAGGUUCUUCUAUUUAAUUCCUUUGGAAGAGAACGUCGUAGACGGAUAACAAUAACUUCGCUAAGAAUACCAGAGAAAAGGCUAUCCGAUCGGCAAGUUUGUACCAAGUCUGGUUAAAAUCAAUACGUAGGAAAUUGGGUGAGCCAUUUCCUGUCACGUGUAAUAAUUAUUUUAAUAAAAGGUCCUAUGUAAACUAACGUUCAGAGAUACAUACGUACGUGUUUGUUCACGUUUGAAAGGAUCGAAUUAAUCGUAUAAAACCCGGUAACAUACAUAUAUUAUUCAAAUGGUUUUCUCCGGUCCUUACACAGCUAUACCAGUGCAGAAAAUAAUUGUUAAAACCGUGCAUUGAACAGCGUGCAUACAUACAUGCCACAGUAGUGCAAGUGGAAUAGGUAGACGACAACCGCAACAUACGCAGGAACGUGAACUUGGCACCAAAAGGAAACCGACACUAUGUACAACAUCGGCGUAGCGGCAUUAAAACGAAGUAUAAACUGUUAGUCGACACGCUACGGUUCCCGAUACACACAGUGAACGUUACUUCGUACAGUCGUGUGCAUUUUCUCGGUGAAGAACUGCGAUGCAGUGACUGCAGAUACAAAAAGACUGGACAUCCCUUUGUUCUCGAGGGGUCAUGAUUUUGGAGUCCCAGACACCCCCAACCACAGUUAAGUCUGCAUGUAUAGAAAACAGUCGGUGGACAAUCGUGCCUGUUUUACCAGUCAUUCUUUCACCGCUCCUUUCACUGACAACAGGAAAGACACCAUUUAAACUCCCUCUGACUCUAUUUUUUAUAAAUUAAUUAAAACUAGUACAAGAUUGAAACAUUAUUAAAAUAAUUGUAAACCAAACUUGUAUU